AUUGAACGCUGGCGGCAGGCCUAACACAUGCAAGUCGAGCGAGCGGCGGACGGGUGAGUAAUGUAUGGGGACUGCCCGAUAGAGGGGGAUAACUACUGGAAACGGUAGCUAAUACCGCAUACUAUCGGAUAACCCAUAUGGGAUUAGCUAGUAGGUGAGGUAAUGGCUCACCUAGGCGACGAUCCAUAGCUGGUCUGAGAGGAUGAUCAGCAACACGGGGACUGAGAACAGGCCCAGACUCCGACGGAGGCAGCAGGGGGGAAUAGUGCACAACUGGCGCAAGCCUGAUGCAGCCAUGCCGCGUGUAUGAAGAAGGCCCUAGGGUUGUAAAGUACGUUCAGUCGGGAGGCGUUACCGACAGAAGAAGCACCGGUUAACUCCGUGCCAGCCGCAGCGGUAAUUC
rnacentral:rRNA from 1 species